rnacentral:rRNA from 1 species
AGGCAGCAGUGAGGAAUAUUGGUCAAUGGACGMGAGUCUGAACCAGCCAAGUAGCGUGAAGGAUGACUGCCCUAUGGGUUGUAAACUUCUUUUAUAUGGGAAUAAAGUGGKCCAYGUGUGGACUUUUGYAUGUACYWUAUGAAUAAGGAUCGGCUAACUCCGUGCCAGCAGCCGCGGUAAUACGGAGGAUCCGAGCGUUAUCCGGAUUUAUUGGGUUUAAAGGGAGCGUAGRYGGAUKKUUAAGUCAGUUGUGAAAGUUUGCGGCUCAACCGUAAAAUUGCAGUUGAUACUGGMWRUCUUGAGUGCAGUWGAGGYRGGCGGAAUUCGUGGUGUAGCGGUGAAAUGCUUAGAUAUCACGA